rnacentral:rRNA from 1 species
UACGAAGGGGGCUAGCGUUGCUCGGAAUCACUGGGCGUAAAGCGCACGUAGGCGGAUCUUUAAGUCAGGGGUGAAAUCCUGGAGCUCAACUCCAGAGCUGCCUUUGAUACUGGGGAUCUCGAGUCCGGGAGAGGUGAGUGGAACGGCGAGUGUAGAGGUGAAAUUCGUAGAUAUUCGCAAGAACACCAGUGGCGAAGGCGGCUCACUGGCCCGGUACUGACGCUGAGGUGCGAAAGCGUGGGGAGCAAACAGG